GACGAACGCUGGCGGCGUGCUUAACACAUGCUUGUCGAACGGAAAGGCCCUGCUUUUGUGGGGUGCUCGAGUGGCGAACGGGUGAGUAACACGUGAGUAACCUGCCCUUGACUUUGGGAUAACUUCAGGAAACUGGGGCUAAUACCGGAUAGGAGCUCCUGCUGCAUGGUGGGGGUUGGAAAGUUUCGGCGGUUGGGGAUGGACUCGCGGCUUAUCAGCUUGUUGGUGGGGUAGUGGCUUACCAAGGCUUUGACGGGUAGCCGGCCUGAGAGGGUGACCGGCCACAUUGGGACUGAGAUACGGCCCAGACUCCUACGGGAGGCAGCAGUGGGGAAUAUUGCACAAUGGGCGGAAGCCUGAUGCAGCAACGCCGCGUGCGGGAUGACGGCCUUCGGGUUGUAAACCGCUUUCGCCUGUGACGAAGCGUGAGUGACGGUAAUGGGUAAAGAAGCACCGGCUAACUACGUGCCAGCAGCCGCGGUGAUACGUAGGGUGCGAGCGUUGUCCGGAUUUAUUGGGCGUAAAGGGCUCGUAGGUGGUUGAUCGCGUCGGAAGUGUAAUCUUGGGGCUUAACCCUGAGCGUGCUUUCGAUACGGGUUGACUUGAGGAAGGUAGGGGAGAAUGGAAUUCCUGGUGGAGCGGUGGAAUGCGCAGAUAUCAGGAGGAACACCAGUGGCGAAGGCGGUUCUCUGGGCCUUUCCUGACGCUGAGGAGCGAGAGCGUGGGGAGCGAACAGGCUUAGAUACCCUGGUAGUCCACGCUGUAAACGGUGGGUACUAGGUGUGGGGUCCAUUCCACGGGUUCCGUGCCGUAGCUAACGCUUUAAGUACCCCGCCUGGGGAGUACGGCCGCAAGGCUAAAACUCAAAGGAAUUGACGGGGCCCCGCACAAGCGGCGGAGCAUGCGGAUUAAUUCGAUGCAACGCGUAGAACCUUACCUGGGUUUGACAUGGAUCGGGAGUGCUCAGAGAUGGGUGUGCCUCUUUUGGGGUCGGUUCACAGGUGGUGCAUGCCUGUCGUCAGCUCGUGUCGUGAGAUGUUGGGUUAAGUCCCGCAACGAGCGCAACCCUUGUUCACUGUUGCCAGCACGUUAUGGUGGGGACUCAGUGGAGACCGCCGGGGUCAACUCGGAGGAAGGUGGGGAUGACGUCAAGUCCUCAUGCCCCUUAUGUCCAGGGCUUCACGCAUGCUACAAUGGCUGGUACAGAGAGUGGCGAGCCUGUGAGGGUGAGCGAAUCUCGGAAAGCCGGUCUCAGUUCGGAUUGGGGUCUGCAACUCGACCUCAUGAAGUCGGAGUCGCUAGUAAUCGCAGAUCAGCAACGCUGCGGUGAAUACGUUCCCGGG
rnacentral:rRNA from 1 species